rnacentral:snoRNA from 1 species
GUUGUCAAUGAUGAUUUACCUUUUUAUUGUUCGAGUUUCAAUGACCAUGAUAACACUUACAUGCACUACCAUCUGAGACAUA